rnacentral:rRNA from 1 species
AACCACUGCAAUGUCACCUUUAAUGCACCACUUUCAAUGGAUCACUGACGUUAAGCAAGGUUGCGCGAGGUUGGUAUUCGAAUGGUUUAUCAUCUGGGCAAUCGUUUACUGGUGGUUU